UGGUGGAGUGAUUUGUCUGGUUAAUUCCGUUAACGAACGAGACCUUAGCCUACUAACUAGUCAACGUAAUUUCAUUACAUUUGACUUCUUAGAGGGACUUUGCGUUUCAAGCGCAAGGAAGUUUGAGGCAAUAACA
rnacentral:rRNA from 1 species